CCCUUAGAUGUCCUGGGCCGCACGCGCGCUACACUGAUGCAUGCAACGAGUUUAUAACCUUGGCCUGAAAGGUCUGGGUAAUCUUUUGAACGUGCAUCGUGAUAGGGAUAGAUUAUUGCAAUUGUUAAUCUUGAACGAGGAAUUCCUAGUAAACGCGAGUCAUCAGCUCGCAUUGAUUACGUCCCUGCCCUUUGUACACACCGCCCGUCGUACCUACCGAUUGAAUGGUUCGGUGAAGAUCUCGGACUUCGAUAUUUAUUCUUUAUUGAGUUUAUAUUGUGGGAAGUUAUCUAAACCUCAUCAUUUAGAGGAAGGUGAAGUCGUAACA
rnacentral:rRNA from 1 species